rnacentral:rRNA from 1 species
UACGGAGGGUGCAAGCGUUAUCCGGAUUCACUGGGUUUAAAGGGUGCGUAGGUGGGCAGGUAAGUCAGUGGUGAAAUCUCCGGGCUUAACCCGGAAACUGCCAUUGAUACUAUCUGUCUUGAAUAUUGUGGAGGUGAGCGGAAUAUGUCAUGUAGCGGUGAAAUGCUUAGAUAUGACAUAGAACACCAAUUGCGAAGGCAGCUCACUACUCAAUCAUUGACUCUGAGGCACGAAAGCGUGGGGAUCAAACAGG